UACGUAGGGUGCAAGCGUUAUCCGGAAUUAUUGGGCGUAAAGAGCUCGUAGGCGGGUUGUCGCGUCUGCUGUGAAAACUGGAGGCUCAACCUCCAGCCUGCAGUGGGUACGGGCAAACUAGAGUGCGGUAGGGGAGAUUGGAAUUCCUGGUGUAGCGGUGGAAUGCGCAGAUAUCAGGAGGAACCCCGGUGGCGAAGGCGGGUCUUUUGGCAACAACUGACGCUGAGGAGCGAAAGCGUGGGGAGCGAACAGG
rnacentral:rRNA from 1 species